GACAGAGGGUGCAAACGUUGUUCGGAAUUACUGGGCGUAAAGCGAGUGUAGGCGGUUUCCUAAGUCAGGUGUGAAAGCCCCGGGCUCAACCCGGGAAGUGCACUUGAAACUGGGAGGCUAGAGUACUGGAGAGGUUGGUGGAAUUCCGCGUGUAGCAGUGAAAUGCGUAGAUAUGCGGAGGAACACCGAUGGCGAAGGCAGCCCCCCUGGGCUAACACUGACGCCUCAGGCACGAAAGCGUGGGGAGCAAACAGG
rnacentral:rRNA from 1 species